AUGUCGGCGUCGCCGUCGAUGAGCGGCGGUGCCGGGGAGCGGACGCGGACGGUGGUGUGGUUCAGGCGGGACCUGCGCGUGGAGGACAACCCGGCCCUAGCGGCGGCGGCGCGAACAGCCGGGGAGGUGGUGCCGGCGUACGUGUGGGCGCCGGAGGAGGACGGGCCGUACUACCCUGGGCGGGUGUCCCGGUGGUGGCUCAGCCAGAGCCUCAAGCACCUGGACGCCUCGCUGCGCCGGCUCGGCGCCACCCGGCUGGUCACCCGACGGUCCACCGACACCGUCGCCGCGCUGCUGGAGCUCGUCCGCAGCACCGGCGCCACCCAUCUCUUCUUCAACCACCUCUACGACCCGCUGUCGCUGGUCCGGGACCACCGGGUGAAGCAAGUGCUGGGGGCCGAGGGCAUCACCGUGCAGUCCUUCAACUCCGACCUGCUCUACGAGCCAUGGGAGGUCCUCGACGACCACGGCUGCCCCUUCACCAUGUUCACGCCCUUCUGGAACACGUGCCUCUGUAUGGUCGACCCCCCCGCGCCCAUGCUGCCACCCAAGAGGAUUAAUUCAGGUGAAUUGUCGAGGUGCUGCUCAUCGGACGACCUCAUCUUCGAAGACGAGUCGGAGAGGGGGAGCAACGCGCUGCUCGCACGCGCGUGGUCGCCGGGGUGGCAGAACGCCGACAAGGCUUUCACGGCCUUCAUCAACGGCCCGCUCAUCGACUACUCCGUGAACCGCAAGAAGGCCGACAGUGCAAACACCUCACUGCUCUCCCCCUACCUGCACUUUGGCGAGCUCAGCGUCCGCAAGGUCUUCCAUCAGGUACGGAUGAAGCAGCUAACGUGGAGCAACGAGAGCAACGGCGACGGCGAGGAGGGCUGCAGCCUCUUCCUCCGCUCCAUCGGCCUGCGAGAGUACUCCAGGUACCUCGCCUUCAACCACCCAUGCAGCCACGAGAAGCCCCUCUUGGCUCAUCUCAGGUUCUUCCCCUGGGUGGUCAAUGAGGUCUACUUCAAGGUCUGGAGGCAGGGUAGGACCGGCUACCCUCUUGUCGACGCCGGCAUGAGGGAGCUUUGGGCCACCGGCUGGCUGCAUGACCGCAUACGUGUCGUCGUCUCAAGCUUCUUUGUCAAGGUUCUCCAGCUGCCAUGGCGCUGGGGGAUGAAGUACUUCUGGGACACCUUGCUGGACGCCGACCUUGAGAGCGACGCGUUGGGCUGGCAGUACAUCUCCGGGUCUCUGCCUGAUGGCCGUGAGCUCGACCGCAUUGACAACCCGCAGUUUGAAGGCUACAAGUUCGACCCAUGCGGGGAGUACGUCCGGCGAUGGCUGCCGGAGCUGGCGAGGCUACCAACGGAAUGGAUACACCACCCCUGGGAUGCACCCGAGUCUGUGCUGCAGGCUGCAGGAAUUGAGCUAGGUUCCAAUUACCCUCUCCCCAUUGUUGAGCUAGAUGAAGCCAAGUCCAGAUUGCAGGACGCCCUGUCAGAGAUGUGGGAGCUUGAGGCAGCCUCUCGUGCUGAGAUAGAGAAUGGAAUGGAGGAAGGCCUGGGAGACUCCUCAGACGAGCCACCCAUUGCCUUCCCCCAAGAGCUGCAGCAUAUGGAAGUGGACCGUGCCACUAUCCAUACACCAGCGAUGGCUGGCCGGAGACGAGCAGAUCAGAUGGUGCCUAGCAUCACCUCUUCCUUUUUCAGAGCUGAAACAGAAACAGAACUUUCUGCGGCUUUUGAAAGCGAAGUGACUAGGCCGGAGGUGCCAUCACAGGUGCAUUUCCAGCCUCAGACUCGGAUGGAAGUCAGGGAUGAAGUUGCCAGCGACGACACUGCUGCCAGAUACAACGGCGUCCAGCAGCAGCAGCAGUAUACCCUACACCGUCACCGUGUGCAGGGCGGCAUAGCACCAUCCACUUCAGAGGCAUCAAGCAGCUGGACUGGGAGAGAAGGUGGGGUAGUACCCGUCUGGUCGCCUCCGGCUGCGUCAGGCCAUUCAGAUCCCUACGCUGCGGAUGAAACUGACAUUUCCAGUAGGAGUUAUUUGGACAGGCACCCGCAGCAGUCACAUAGGUUGAUGAAUUGGAAUCAGCUCUCCCAGUCAUCGUGA
rnacentral:rRNA from 1 species